GUGGGGAAUUUUGGACAAUGGGCGAAAGCCUGAUCCAGCAAUGCCGCGUGCAGGAUGAAGGCCCUCGGGUUGUAAACUGCUUUUGUACGGAACGAAACGGUCCUGGCUAAUACCCGGGGCUAAUGACGGUACCGUAAGAAUAAGCACCGGCUAACUACGUGCCAGCAGCCGCGGUAAUACGUAGGGUGCGAGCGUUAAUCGGAAUUACUGGGCGUAAAGCGUGCGCAGGCGGUGCUGUAAGACAGGCGUGAAAUCCCCGGGCUCAACCUGGGAAUUGCGCUUGUGACUGCAGUGCUGGAGUGCGGCAGAGGGGGAUGGAAUUCCGCGUGUAGCAGUGAAAUGCGUAGAUAUGCGGAGGAACACCGAUGGCGAAGGCAAUCCCCUGGGCCUGCACUGACGCUCAUGCACGAAAGCGUGGGGAGCAAACAGGAUUAGAAACCCCGGUAGUCC
rnacentral:rRNA from 1 species